GACGAACGCUGGCGGCGUGCCUAAUACAUGCAAGUCGAGCGAGCGAAACUAACAGAUUUACUUCGGUAAUGACGUUAGGAAAGCGAGCGGCGGAUGGGUGAGUAACACGUGGGGAACCUGCCCCAUAGUCUGGGAUACCACUUGGAAACAGGUGCUAAUACCGGAUAAGAAAGCAGAUCGCAUGAUCAGCUUUUAAAAGGCGGCGUAAGCUGUCGCUAUGGGAUGGCCCCGCGGUGCAUUAGCUAGUUGGUAAGGUAAAGGCUUACCAAGGCGAUGAUGCAUAGCCGAGUUGAGAGACUGAUCGGCCACAUUGGGACUGAGACACGGCCCAAACUCCUACGGGAGGCAGCAGUAGGGAAUCUUCCACAAUGGACGCAAGUCUGAUGGAGCAACGCCGCGUGAGUGAAGAAGGUUUUCGGAUCGUAAAGCUCUGUUGUUGGUGAAGAAGGAUAGAGGCAGUAACUGGCCUUUAUUUGACGGUAAUCAACCAGAAAGUCACGGCUAACUACGUG
rnacentral:rRNA from 1 species